GACGAACGCUGGCGGCGUGCUUAACACGUGCAAGUCGAACGGAAAGGCCUCUUUCGGGGGGUACUCGAGUGGCGAACGGGUGAGUAACACGUGAGUAACCUGCCCUUGACUUUGGGAUAACUUCAGGAAACUGGGGCUAAUACCGGAUAGGAGCUCCUGCUGCAUGGUGGGGGUUGGAAAGUUUCGGCGGUUGGGGGUGGACUCGCGGCUUAUCAGCUUGUUGGUGGGGUAGUGGCUUACCAAGGCUUUGACGGGUAGCCGGCCUGGGAGGGUGAACGGCCAAAUUGGGACUGGGAUACGGCCCAGACUCCUACGGGAGGCAGGCGUGGGGAAUAUUGGAAAAUGGGUGGAAGCCUGAUGCAGCAAACCCGGGGGGGGGAUGACGGCCUUCGGGUUGUAAACCGCUUUCGCUCAUGACGAAGCUCUGUGUGACGGUAGUGGGUAAAGAAGCACCGGCUAACUACGUG
rnacentral:rRNA from 1 species